AAAAGACAGUCUCAGUUCGGAUUGAAGGCUGAAAUUCGCCUUCAUGAAGCCGGAAUUGCUAGUAAUGGCAGGUCAGCAUACUGCCGUGAAUACGUUCCCGGGCCUUGUACACACCGCCCGUCACACCAUGAGAGUUGGGGAUACCCGAAGCCUGUGAGCUAACUUUUAGAGGCAGCAGUCGAAGGUAGAAUCAAUGAUUGGGGUGAAGUCGUAACAAGGUAUC
rnacentral:rRNA from 1 species